rnacentral:snRNA from 1 species
AUCCCUUACCACAAGUGUAGUAUCUGUUCUUAUCAGUUUAGUAUCUGAUAUGCCCCCUAUCCGAGGAGAGUAUAUUAAAUGGAUCUUUGGGAUUAGGAGAUGGAAUAGGAGCUUGCUCCGUCCACUCCACACAUUGCAGUACCUCCACGAACGGUGCACUAAAA